rnacentral:rRNA from 1 species
UGGGGAAUAUUGGACAAUGGGCGCAAGCCUGAUCCAGCCAUGCCGCGUGAGUGAUGAAGGCCCUAGGGUUGUAAAGCUCUUUCACCGGUGAAGAUAAUGACGGUAACCGGAGAAGAAGCCCCGGCUAACUUCGUGCCAGCAGCCGCGGUAAUACGAAGGGGGCUAGCGUUGUUCGGAUUUACUGGGCGUAAAGCGCACGUAGGCGGACUUUUAAGUCAGGGGUGAAAUCCCGGGGCUCAAACCCGGAACUGCCUUUGAUACUGGAAGUCUUGAGUAUGGUAGAGGUGGGUGGAAUUCCGAGUGUAGAGGUGAAAUUCGUAGAUAUUCGGAGGAAAACCAGUGGCGAAGGCGGCUCACUGGACCAUUACUGACGCUGAGGUGCGAAAGCGUGGGGGGCAAACAGG